rnacentral:tRNA from 1 species
AGCCGAGCGGACUAAGGCGCUGGUUUAAGGCACUAGUCUCUUCGGGGGCGUGGGUUCGAAUCCCAC